rnacentral:rRNA from 1 species
UAAGGAAUAUUGGGCAAUGGACGCAAGUCUGACCCAGCCAUGCCGCGUGAAGGAAGACGGCCCUAUGGGUUGUAAACUUCUUUUCUCAGGGGGUAAACUCUGGAACGUGUUCCGGACUGAAAGUACCUGAGGAAUAAGCAUCGGCUAACUCCGUGCCAGCAGCCGCGGUAAUACGGAGGAUGCGAGCGUUAACCGGAUUCAUUGGGUUUAAAGGGUGCGCAGGCGGAUAGAUAAGUCGGAGGUGAAAUUCUGAGGCUCAA